AGAGAGGGCAGGAUUUUAUUAUCAGCUAAUGAGACUAAUUCCUUGAUUCAUCUGUUUGCUUUUACCAAGGGCAUCUGACCAAUAACACUUCCAGAAAAACUAAUAUGUUGUCUUCCUUUUAGUAAAUAAGCCGAGGGACUAAGAAUUCAGCAGAAGAGUUGCCUACAUAGAUCUUUUCAAUACUCCUCCACUGACAAGAACAAGAACAAAAACAAGAACAACAAAAAUAACAACAACCAGCCCACACUUUUAAUCCCAGCAAAGCAGAGGCAGACAGAUCUCUGUGAGUUAUUAAACCAGCAUUGUCUACAUGGAGAAGUCUAGUCCAGACAGGGCUAGUGAAGCUGUAUGUCAAAAAUUAAUCAACUAAAACCCAGUAGCUCAGCUCCUUACUGACCGAAGGGUGCUUCACACAUUUAUUUCUUCAGCUCCAUCCUACUCUGGGCUGUGUUUUUGCACUGGAAGCAUUUCCAUUGGUUUGCGCAUCACCUCGACGGCUGGGGAUGCUCUCGCACUGUUACUGUAAAUUUUACAUGAGUUUUAUAAAGUAGAGCUUGUCCUUGGCUGCAGGCACUCCUCUUCUUAAACCCCGGAUUUGAGCUUAUGUCACUUGAGUGUUUUGUAUGCACCACUAAACUUUGGUUAGCCCGACUGGUCUUUCCACCUCUCUAGACAAGGGGGCAAUCCUGGUGUUCUGCCAGGUUUCCUGAAGUCCUUUUGUACUCUCAUUCAGCGUCUUUGGGAUUUACUUCUUCUGACUUCCUCAUGAGCUACUUUCUGAGAACUGUCCUUGGCCAACUGGAGCAGCUUGCCCACAAAUAAGCAGCACUGGGUGCAUGUGGAAGUUCAUCUCCCAGGGAAAGCUCAUGAACCAUGGCCAACCCAAAUAGGAACACCAACUGCCUUCUGGGCAGCUGGUCCCAUUCCAGUCUCAAGGCAUCCUAUCUGGGCCAGGCUGAGAUAGACCAUGGUGGCAGUCUAGAUCCUUGUUCCCACUUCCAUGAGUGUUUUCUGUAGGAAUACUUCCUUAUUGAUGAUCAGAUACUUAGCCUCACUCCAAAAUUAUUACGUAAUUCAAAUGACUUCAUUCUGACUCGUAGUUAUUAAAUCAGGAAGGCCGAUGACAAUUAUUGACCUUCCUGCUUUAAUGGUGUCCUGGGACUCAGAAGCCCAGGAAUAGCACAGCUAUGAGAGAAAUUCUCCUCAGCAGAGGUAUUGCAGCUUCCAAGGGCGAGUCUCCCUAGCUGAGCUGAAGAUCUCAGGAGCCUCAGUGCCACUCCUUCUCGUCACUGCUUCCCUGCUUCUCUUCAUUGCUUCUUAGCUCCUUCUGAUGAGAGAGAGUCACAUCAGGCAUUAAAUCUCAUAUAAGAAAUUUAUUGGAGGAAGAACGUUGUGGAGGGACAGAUCCAGGGAGCAUCCAGGAUGGAUCCUCCUUUCCCUAGAAGGAGCACACAGCAGGGAACCGAGGAGACACAGUCAUUAUAUAGGGUUUCUUAUGGGAGGAGUGGAGAGCUUUCUAGGUUGGUGGGUUUUCCUCUUCCGGGAUUGGUGGGUUUUCCUCUUCUGGGAUUGGUGGGUUUUCCUCUUCCGGGAUUGGUGGGUUUUCCUCUUCCGGGAUUGGUGGGUUUUCCUCUUCCGGGAUUGGUGGGUUUUCCUCUUCCGGGAUUGGUGGGUUUUCCUCUUCCGGGAUUGGUGGGUUUUCCUCUUCAUGGAUUGGUGGGUUUAUGUGGAAAGUUCAGGGAUUGGUGGGAUUUUAUAUUCAAGGGUUGGUGGCUUUUGUUCAGUCUUCUCACCUAAAUUAGCGUAAUCUGGGAGUGUCCUGUUGAGGCUAUUGGUGAUAACCUUUGUGACAGUCACAGAGGCUGGAAAAGCUCUUCGGUCUGUUACAGAAGUCUGUGGGGAGAGCCUGGCUGAAGGAGCUCCUUAGGCAGGGGCCUGGCCACUUUCAUGUCUUGAAGCAGGCUGGCAGAGAAAUGGAGGGGAGUUUCCCAUUGGCUGAAGCUACUGCUCUGUUGUUUUCCCAGUUUCCUUCCCACAAGAAAGCAAACAGAUGAACAUCCGCUGGAUGUGCUAAGGGACACCUGUGAAUUCUGAAUCCUGGGCAGAGUCAGAAGCUCAAGUGUAAGGUCAACCUAGAACACAUGGAGCUCAUGUAGCCCAGGAUGGUCCUUAAAUAACAGAAGACACAGAAGACAACUUUGAACUUCUGCUCCUCCUGCCUUCAUCCCACAAGUGCUGGAAUCAGAGUCAUGUGCUUUCAGGGCCUAUUUAUGUGGUGCUGAGAAGCAAACCCAGGACGUCACGCAUCCUACACAAGCAAACACUCUACUCACUGGCCAACAUCCUUAACACCCGCCCGACUUAUAAUUUCUACAUAUUGCAGUUCAAAUUUCAUAUAGCUGAAUUAUUAUGAGUUGUAUACUAGGAAAUUGCUUUGACUCAAACAUUAAACUAAUUAUGUGACUAA